ACUAUUUUGUCAGAUAAUGUGAUAAGUUUAGAAUUUAUUUAUGUAUAAUUUUAUUUAUGCAAAUAGUA
rnacentral:tRNA from 1 species